UACGUAGGGACCGAGCGUUGUCCGGAUUUAUUGGGCGUAAAGAGCGUGUAGGCGGCUUUGCAAGUCCGUUGUGAAAACUCGAGGCUCAACCUCGAGACGCCGGUGGAAACUGCAAAGCUAGAGUCCGGAAGAGGAGAGUGGAAUUCCUGGUGUAGCGGUGAAAUGCGCAGAUAUCAGGAAGAACACCCGUGGCGAAGGCGGCUCUCUGGGACGGUACUGACGCUGAGACGCGAAAGCGUGGGGAGCGAACAGG
rnacentral:rRNA from 1 species